GGAAAGUGGGGGGCAGGGUGCGCGUAAAUGAGAAGGGGGCGGGUGUUGGUCGUAAGCACUGGGCGUAAAGCGUAGGUAGGCGGAUUGUUAAGUUAGGGGUGAAAUCCCGAGGCUCAACCUCGGAACUGCCUCUAAGACUGGCUUUCUUGAGUUCGGGAGAGGUGAGUGGAACUCCUAGUGUAGAGGUGAAAUUCGUAGAUAUUAGGAAGAACACCAGUGGCGAAGGCGGCUCACUGGCCCGAUACUGACGCUGAUGUACGAAAGCGUGGGGAGCAAACAGGAUUAGAUACCCGAGUAGUC
rnacentral:rRNA from 1 species